GGGGGGGGGGGGGGGCGGGCUGGGCGGGGGCGGGGCGGGCGGGGGGGCCCUGCUGGCCGGGUGCGCGAGUGGCGAGCGGGGGGGUAACACGGGGGUGGUCUGCCCUGCACUUCGGGAUGAGCCUGGGAGACUGGGUCUAAUACCGGCUAGGAGCCCGUUUUAGUGUGCGGGGUGGAGAGUUUUUUCGGUGUAGGAUGAGCUCGCGGCCUAUCAGCUUGUUGGUGGGGUAAUGGCCUACCAAGGCGGCGACGGGUAGCCGGCCUGAGAGGGUGGACGGCCACAUUGGGACUGAGAUACGGCCCAGACUCCUACGGGAGGCAGCAGUGGGGAAUAUUGCACAAUGGGCGCAAGCCUGAUGCAGCGACGCCGCGGGGGGGAGGACGGCCUUCGGGUUGUAAAAUCCUUUCGCUAGGGACGAAGCUUUUUGUGACGGUACCUAGAGAAGAAGCACCGGCUAACUACGUG
rnacentral:rRNA from 1 species